CGGCGGGAACAUGGCACACUUGUCUCCCGUGGAAAAACUGCAGGCGCCGUCCAUGGAGAAGCAGUACUGAGUCUGGAGGGGCGGCGAGGGAUGCAUUAGUCAGCCUGCCUGUGUGUCCCUCAGUAGGAACGAGGCCAGACUCCCACCGAUUCACAGAAGGGGUGGCCGUUGGCUUGGAUGUCCACUUUGUAGGUCCCCACGUCCGCCCACUGCCCUUCCCUCUGCCAGUUCAGCACCAGAGACGUCGUGGUCACCUGGUUGAUGGUCACCUUCUGGCCUGGAGCGAGGAUAAGGAGUAAGGAGUUGACAGUUUACAGGUUCUGCUAGGUGGGUAGACCAGGCUCCUCCUCUUCAUCUUGGACAAAAGCAGUGAAGGUCUGGUGGAGUGCCGUGGCCAUGCGAUACUCCUGUGUUCCUUCAGGCAGAAGGUGCAGCGUUUGGCUCAGCAACUCUACA